UGUCAUUAUUUUUCACAGAAAGGCCAAGAUAGCGCGCAAAACUAAAGGGUUGAUUCCUCCGGUUGUGAAAGCGGCGAAUGGCAAUCUGUCAGAGGAAAUAAAACUGAUAAAGCAAGCUCCUCCUGACUCUUCUAGUUCAGGUAUGUCUGAAGUUUUCUAGUUUCCUUCUAUAGCUACAAUUUGUUGGUGCAGUUCUAUGUUAUGCGGUCAAUUGUUUCUGUAGUUUUAUUAUUAUUAUUAUUAUUAUUAUAAUAUUGUAUGCUCUAUGCCUAAAGUAAUAUCAACUGUUUUCCUGUGAAAUGUCUUAAUUGUUCUAAUUUUGCCUUUGUUCCAUCUUUCCUGAAUCUCUAGGUUUAAAAAAAUAAAACAAAAUUCUUUCCCUAGUUCAUUUAAGUUAGUUUAGGAACUUUUGAAUUUCGAAAAUAGUGUAAUGGUGUAAUAAAACUUGUGUGAAUGGAACACGAACUCAUAAAUCGGGUAAAUGCCUAUUUAGUAUUGAACUUAAAAUACCUAUAGAUUUUUUGUGAAUUUGAAAUUCAUAGUUUAUACCUUUCAUGUAUAUUCGCAUUGAACCAUUACUAAUUUAUAUAUAAUGUAUACUUUUCGUUCUCAUAAUUUAUGAAACAAGUGAAAUCCAAAUCCGAAUUUUCAAACACAUGUUUCCGAACAUACCGUUAGAGGUCUUUUUCUCCUUAUAAAAAUUAUGGGGGAGCUGUUGCUAUUGGCACUUGUUUGUUCUUGAUUUGAAUUGCAUUGUGAUGGAAAAACCAAGAUAAUGAAUUUUAUCAAAAUGCACUUAUAUCCAUCUGUUGUUGUAGAAGAUGUUAAUAUUUUUCAAAGGGGGAACCUAAAUAUAGGAAAAAAUCUUCCAUUUCACAGGGCAAAAAAACUAAGGAUAUGUGGGUGUAUUGAUUAUGUAAACUGAAGGUCUAAUAAGAGUUACAUGAUGCGUGCCCAAUAUCCGAGUAAUAAAGUGAUUUAAGAAUAGAAGCAGAAAAAAAAAAAGAAUUAGAAACAGAAGAACAAAUGUUAGAGAGAAAAUAGAAUAUUAGAGAGGAAGUUUUUCUUUGUAAUUUUCGGUACCCUGCCCAGCCACCACUUCUCAUUUCCCGUAUAAUAUUGUGCUAAUGUAAUUCCAAAUAUGCCAUUUAAGGCCUGCCUAAUGACCCCCAACACUUGGGUACCAGACAGCCCAAUGUUAACAAUCUAUACUGACAUACCAAUCCCAUUUACUAUCCUCAAACACAAAACCAUAUAAAAUUUGACCUGCAACAUUACACAGUUCAGCGACAUUGACUAAGUCAGAAUAUUCUGCAAAUGCCCUUUAAAUACUUGGAGCUUCUAUCUGAGUUCUUCAAAGUGUUGCUACACAAGGUGGAAUCAAAUGUUUUCUAUUCCCCUAUAUUACUUUGAUUUGGAUCAGAUACAGCUAUGCAGCCUAUAGGGAUUUUUAAAUUUUUUUAUUUUAUUAAAAACAUAAUGUAUUUGGAGGAUUCUUGGAGAGUCCUAUCCUUGUACCUACGUCCAUAUAUGCAUUGGAUACAUAUGGUUGCUUGAAAAAAAUGAAGAAUUGGAGCAAAAUAGCUAUUCCCACCAUUAGGUUAUUGUACUGUUGGCUCGAUCAUUAUCACCGUAAAGAUGUCCUUCCACAGUUUGCCUUUCUUCUGAAAGGUUAAAAAUGAUGUACAUUGAGCAAGAGGCAGAUGCUGUCAAUGGUCUUGAGAUGCACUCAUUAAUAUCCUUGUUGAAGAUGUACCUGCCACUCUCUGCCGCUAACUUGAUUUUCUGAAUCUCCUCACUAACAUCAGCAAUUCCGAAGCUUGUGAUAGGAGGCAAACUGUUUUUCAAUUGUGAAGCCGGUCGCGAUGGAAAAUUAAAUGGAGGAAAAUGUUCUUCUGUGACUAAGGCUUUCUGGUUAGACACUGAGAAGGAAAACAUACAUCAAUUUUUUUUAUAGGAUUUACAGUCAUCCUCACCACGACAGACAAAGUGAGCAGCUACUUAUUCCAACUAAGAUGAGGGGCUUCAACCACUGAUGCUGUCAUUGGAAAGAACAAGGAUGCUUUUUAGCUUUAGUCCGAGACUACCUUAAAAAUUAGCUGGAUUUCACUCAAAUCUCUGGUCCGAGAUGAGUUGUGAGAGCAGCUUGAGGCUCCAUUUUGUUGAAGUUGAUUGAGUCACAUUGAACAAAAGAGUGAUUUGAAGGCUUCACCUUUGUCCAAAGGGUAUGGUUUAGGUGAAGAGACUAUGGCCUAGGAGUUGGUAUUGGUAAUUACUCAGGGUGGUAAUUUAAUUCUUUAAAUAUUUGUCUAAAUGGUGCUUUGACUCUCAUUAUUUGGUAUUUUGUCUUUAAGAUCACAUGGAUGGCUUUAAUUUGUUUGAUCAAUGACUUCCAACGCAGCUUGUAUUUUGAUGUUUUCUUUAUGCCUUCACAAUCUAUUAAGGUGGCCAUUGCCGCACAAUUUUGUUGAUUUUUUGGAGACACUGCUGUUUUAUGUGGAUGCUCGUAAGAGUGUCUUGGGUGUUUUUAGGAGUGUCCUUCAUUUAGGUGUACCGUUGUGUCCUUGAUGCAGUGAUGUUGAUUUCUUCAAAGGUGUUUGUAUUUAGCUUAUCUUGUUUACUAACCUUUUGGUUAGUUUUUCACCCUUCCUGGGUUUAUUAAUAUAAUUAUAUUUGGCUGAGAAAAAAAUAGUGUAAAUGCGAAGGAAGACCAUACAAUGACUCGUAGGUUUGUCAACUGUCUACCCGUGGUGAAUUGCAGCCACCUCCUUGGCGAGAAAUUUGUAAGCUCUUUACACAUACACGUACGUAUAUAUAUAUAUAAUAUACAUAUACAUAUACAUGUACAUGGUAUGUUAUUUGGUGCACUUACUGUUUUUCAGAUUUUGUAUAAUCAUCAAAACAAAGUGCCCUAGCUUCGGAGUUAACGCCUAGUGCGCGACUGUAGGAUGGUACGUCGUUGCCCCUACGCCACAAACUUCGAAACUCGGCCUCUAUCCGGCGCCGUAGUGCCGACGAAAACCCUCCUAGCUCAAUCUUUUUAGUGUUUUUUUGGUGGAGUGGACACCCCGAACAUUUUAAGGAUAUUUUGGUAUUUCAAAAUUUUAUAUCCGUUUUACUCACUUUAGUUGCUUUUCUAUUUUUCUUCAAAACCAAUCACAAUAGAAGAACAAUUUCGAAUGUACAUAAAGGGAGUGACUUCGAACAUUUGGUAAGACCGUUUUUAUUUGUUAUGUGAUUUUUUCUCAUUUUUGUUGGACUUGUUUGAUGAACACGUGGACAAAAGAUAGAUACGAUUAUGAAAUUAAUUCUUGGUCUACCCUCACU
rnacentral:lncRNA from 1 species